GGUCAUGUCGGAAUUUCUUGGGUGCAAAGGAGUGGGAAAAGUUUCAGAAGCCCUGCUCCAGGAAGAAUACAGACUUCUCAGCCUGCUGUUCAAAGUCCCCUGGCCCCAUCUGACUCCUCCUGAAUUGUCUCCCAUUGGUCCCUUACCAUACCAUUUCCCAGCUAGAUGAGGUUUCAGGGCAUUGAUAGGAUCCCAGACCUAGGGUUGAAAGGAAGCUCAGAGGCCCUGGCUGCAGUCCAAGGCUGACAUUUUACACACGAGGAAGCUGAGGAGGAGGGAGGUGAAGUGCCCAUAGCAAGCAUCAGAGGUGGGAUUCACACCCAGAUCCUCAGUCUGAUUCCAGAGCUAGCAGACAUCCCCCUCACAUUCAUUUCUGUCAUUUCUCUGAGGCGGACACUCUAACCCUUCUCACCAAUCUGCCUCUUAAAACUCGAACCUCCUUCAAUGCUGCAGGUGCCACAUUUACCCAGAGCCUUGUCUUCCAUCUUUCCCAAAGUGGCUGAAACCAAGAGAUGGCAUUCUCUUGGAGACUGAAUUGAGGAACUAGCUGCUGCAGCUAAAAUGCUGGGAACAGAGUGACAGCUACAAUCUGACGAGAGGGCAGAUCUCAAAGGUUCCAGAGGGUGAACAGAUUAGAUCCCCGGGACUAAAAGACAAGGUGAAUAAAAGACCUUUGCACUAGGAAUAACUGAACAAAAACGCCUGACAGGGAGCUGCUCCCCAAGAUAAGUAAGAAGAUAGAGAGUCCUCCCCUGCCUUUGAUGGAUCCAAGUUCCCUGACCAAGAUGCGGGACAUCCUUAGCUCCUGAAAGAACUGGCUGAUAUGAGUGCAGAGCCACUGUCAGUGAUAUUUGAAAGAUCAUGGAAAAUGGAAGGGGGAGCACAAGGGGGCAGAGGCUGUUCUGUUUUUGUCCUGGGAUGCCUGGCACAAGGCACACACUUCACAAGUGUUUGGUGAGUCUACUGGGAUGGAAAGAGAGAAGGGAAAGAAGAUGCAUUUCAAUAGAG